rnacentral:rRNA from 1 species
GAUGAACGCUAGCUACAGGCUUAACACAUGCAAGUCGAGGGGCAGCAUUAUCGAAGCUUGCUUUGAUAGAUGGCGACCGGCGCACGGGUGAGUAACGCGUAUCCAACCUUCCCCAUAGUCAGGAAUAGCCCGGCGAAAGUCGAAUUAAUGCCUGAUGUUUUCCACGGACGGCAUCCGAUGUGGAACAAAGAUUCAUCGCUAUGGGAUGGGGAUGCGUCUGAUUAGCUUGUUGGCGGGGUAACGGCCCACCAAGGCAACGAUCAGUAGGGGUUCUGAGAGGAAGGUCCCCCACAUUGGAACUGAGACACGGUCCAAAACUCCUACGGGAGGCAGCAGUGAGGAAUAUUGGUCAAUGGGGCGAGAGCCUGAACCAGCCAAGUAGCGUGCAGGAUGACGGCCCUAUGGGUUGUAAACUGCUUUUAUAAGGGAAUAAAGUGAGUCUCGUGAGACUUUUUGCAUGUACCUU